ensembl:lncRNA
GAUUCAUUGGUGCUUUUACCUUACAGCUACAGGUGUGGCUGACCAGAAGCAGGAGGACAGUGCCGGACCAAAGCUACAGGAGUCUGUUCAGAGCCGUCACUGAAGCUGUCAGACCACCAGCAGAUAUCUCCCAAUCUAUUUUCCAGCUGUGAGGAGCUCUUCCCGGAGCUCUACGCCAAAAGUCCAGCCAUGUUUUGUUUUUUGGGCUACACAUCUUUCCCGAUUUGUGAAUUCACCCUGAGAACAGAUCAUACAUUCGGCACACAGAAGCAACGAGAUGCUGAAAUUUGAGCGACACGACUUCAAUUUU